GAAGAACAGCUGUGAAGCUCAUCAAGAGGAUCAAGCAGGCGAGGGGACCAGUAUCCAAUCCCCUACAAGUUCCACUACCCAGAGGAGUUCCAUGGAGGAGGAUGGCUCGUUGUCUGAGAGGGUGGGGGUCUGUGGAGACCCUGAGUGCGACCAGGCUGAUGCAGCCAGUGAGGACCUGGAGCAGGAGGAACCUCUAGGUCCUUAUCAACCCAACAAGCCUGUGGGGUUAGGCUAUUUGGAACAAAGAACUGGAUUAUUCUGCAAGUUGUGCAAACUUUUCUA